GAUGAACGCUGGCGGCGUGCCUAAUACAUGCAAGUCGAGCGAACAGACGAGGAGCUUGCUCCUCUGACGUUAGCGGCGGACGGGUGAGUAACACGUGGAUAACCUACCUAUAAGACUGGGAUAACUUCGGGAAACCGGAGCUAAUACCGGAUAAUAUAUUGAACCGCAUGGUUCAAUAGUGAAAGACGGUUUUGCUGUCACUUAUAGAUGGAUCCGCGCCGCAUUAGCUAGUUGGUAAGGUAACGGCUUACCAAGGCAACGAUGCGUAGCCGACCUGAGAGGGUGAUCGGCCACACUGGAACUGAGACACGGUCCAGACUCUUACGGGAGGCAGCAGUAGGGAAUCUUCCGCAAAGGGCGAAAGCCUGACGGAGCAACGCCGCGUGAGUGAUGAAGGUCUUCGGAUCGUAAAACUCUGUUAUUAGGGAAGAACAAAUGUGUAAGUAACUAUGCACGUCUUGACGGUACCUAAUCAGAAAGCCACGGCUAACUACGUG
rnacentral:rRNA from 1 species